AUAUGGAAAGAUGCAAGCACAAGGUGGAUAAGCUGAUAGGAAAAAACAUGUUCUCGGGAUCACUAGAACCCUUUGGGAUGCUUCAACCGGCUCAUUUGGUGUCGAAUGCACAAGCAGAGCAGAGAAGAACAAGUAUCCGACACGAAGAGUCCAAGAAACAUAGCAAGUAGAAAAAAGUGUCCCCGCAAAUGCAGCAGUAAGAAGAAAGGUCUUUGGUUAUCCAGGAGGUGACAUUGUUGUUGUGAUAAACCCUGUUGUCGAAAUCAAAAUUCUUCGAAAGAGCCGAUUAAGCACUCUUGAGCAAAAGAAAAGCAAAUACGACUGAAGAUUUUUACUUCCCCCUCUUUUACCAAUAAUGAAAGAUAUGAAUGCAUUCCCUUGCCUAAAUGAAAGGCAUUUUUGAUAAAAUCAAGAUGAGAAUAGAGUCAUAUUUGGUGAACAUUUCUUCAACUGGACACUUAAAUCGGGGAUCGACUCUAAAACCUUUCCUGGGUACAUGUAUAGGGUGUCAAAGUUGAACUAGGAAGCAUCCGUACUGGCAUGUGACAUCUUCGACUUUACCCGCCUUUGGAGUCUAUUUGUAAGUCCAAAUUUAUGGAUGUUCAGAAAGAACUUGAUUGAUAAUAUCAUUUUUUCAGUUCAUAGUGUUGGUUUGAUAUUUGAGAUCUGUUUAUGUUGUAAAUGUGCAGAGUCUAAUCUUUUGAUUGUAAAAAAAAGAUUAUAAUCUUAGGCUAUGAAAUUUAUACAUCACUUCCCUUGUGGUUAGUGUUUAUUUUUUAA